GAUGAACGCUAGCGGCAGGCUUAAUACAUGCAAGUCGAGGGGUAGCACGAUUGUAGCAAUACAAUUGUUGACGACCGGCAAACGGGUGCGGAACACGUACACAACCUUCCUACAAGUGGGGAAUAGCCCAGAGAAAUUUGGAUUAAUACCCCGUAACAUAGCGAUGUGGCAUCACAUUGCUCUUAUAGCUUCGGCGCUUGUUGAUGGGUGUGCGGCUGAUUAGAUAGUUGGCGGGGUAACGGCCCACCAAGUCUACGAUCAGUAGCUGAUGUGAGAGCAAGAUCAGCUGCACGGGAACUGAGGCCCGGGCCCGAAUCCGACGGGCGGCAGCAGUAAGGAGCAUUGGACAAUGGACGCAAGUCUGAUCCAGCCAUGCCGCGUGAAAGAUCAAGCUCGUCUGGAUUGUAAACUUCUAUUAUAAGGAACGAAUAACUGUCUUUCUAGAUCGUCUGACGGUAACUUAUGAAUAAGCACCGGCUAACUCCGUGCCAGCCGCCGCGGUAAAAC
rnacentral:rRNA from 1 species